rnacentral:rRNA from 1 species
UACGGAGGUGGCAAGCGUUACUCGGAUUUACUGGGCGUACAGGGUACGUAGGUGGCUACCAAAGCCCUACCUAAAAUCGAUUGUCUCAAGCAGUCGUUGUGGUAGGGGACUGGGUGGCUGGAGAGUGGGAGAGGUGAGCGGAAUUCCCGGUGUAAGGGUGAAAUCUGUAAAGAUCGGGAGGAACACCAGUGGCGCAAGCGGCUCACUGGCCCAUUUCUGACACUGAGGUACGAAAGCUAGGGGAGCAAACAGG